rnacentral:rRNA from 1 species
AACGAACGCUGGCGGCAGGCCUAACACAUGCAAGUCGAGCGGACCUUUCGGGGUCAGCGGCGGACGGGUGAGUCACGCGUGGGAAUAUGCCCUUCUCUACGGAAUAGUCCUGGGAAACUGGGGGUAAUACCGUAUACGCCCCUUGGGGGAAAGAUUUAUCGGGGAAGGAUUAGCCCGCGUUGGAUUAGGUAGUUGGUGGGGUAAUGGCCUACCAAGCCGACGAUCCAUAGCUGGUUUGAGAGAAUGAUCAGCCACACUGGGACUGAGACACGGCCCAGACUCCUACGGGAGGCAGCAGUGGGGAAUCUUAGACAAUGGGGGCAACCCUGAUCUAGCCAUGCCGCGUGAGUGAUGAAGGCCUUAGGGUUGUAAAGCUCUUUCAGCUGGGAAGAUAAUGACGGUACCAGCAGAAGAAGCCCCGGCUAACUCCGUG